rnacentral:rRNA from 1 species
UACGGGGGGGGCAAGCGUUGUUCGGAAUUACUGGGCGUAAAGCGUGCGCAGGCGGUGAUGUAAGACAGGUGUGAAAUCCCCGGGCUUAACCUGGGAACUGCAUUUGUGACUGCAUUGCUGGAGUGCGGCAGAGGGGGAUGGAAUUCCGCGUGUAGCAGUGAAAUGCGUAGAUAUGCGGAGGAACACCGAUGGCGAAGGCAAUCCCCUGGGCCUGCACUGACGCUCAUGCACGAAAGCGUGGGGAGCAAACAGG